UACGUAGGGGGCAAGCGUUGUCCGGAUUUAUUGGGUUUAAAGGGUGCGUAGGUGGCCCUGUAAGUCAGUGGUGAAAUCUCUCAGCUUAACUGAGAGGGUGCCAUUGAUACUGCAGGGCUUGAGUACAGAUGAGGUAGGCGGAAUUGACGGUGUAGCGGUGAAAUGCAUAGAUAUCGUCAAGAACACCGAUAGCGAAGGCAGCUUACCAAGCUGUAACUGACACUGAGGCACGAAAGUGUGGGGAUCAAACAGG
rnacentral:rRNA from 1 species